rnacentral:lncRNA from 1 species
AAAAGAGAAAAAAUGUAGUUUUUCAAAUUCGUUACAUCUUCCUGAACUACGUGAACCUGAUUCUCGUCCCCAGGGGUGAGAUACAUAGAAACCCACAUAGGUUCCGGUCUUCCUAGUAUCUUAGUUCCUUUGCGUUGCGGGGUCUUAGACAAAUCUUGCAUGUCUAGCCACUUUUGGCCACAUCGGCCAUUCUUGUAAUAUGUGGUCAUUUUCGCAAAAGAGUUUUAAUAACCCAUAGGAUUUUGAGUCUACAACUGGGUGUCAUAUUAAGGUCCAUCCAUGUUUUUUCUUCCGUAGCCACAUUUGACCAUCAAGGCCAUUUUUGCGAAAUCAGUCAUUUCUGCAAGGUAAUUUUUAGGCCACGAUUGUCGAGAUGUUAGAGUCGUGUAAUCUCUAAAUGAAGUAUUUUUCACGCAUUAGGAGGUCAUCAUUGUCAAAUUGUCACUAAUAGCCACUUUCAUCCAUUUAGGCCAUUUUGCAAAAUAUAGUCAAAUCGUGUCUUGCAUCUAUCCACUAGGAAAUGUUGUGGUGUUAUGUAGUGUCCCGAGUCGCUAACCAUGUUCUUUUCAUUCAGGUAUGGACCCUGUGAUUUGAUCCAAAGUGCUGAUGGUAGUAAAGAUUCCUAAGAAAUUGAUCAAGUGGUGGAAAAUGUUUUCAUCGAUAGAGCAACAUGAGUUAAUGCAUAAAUUGGGCACCCUCACUUCCCUUCUUGAUAUAACACUCUGCCCAGAGUUAGUGGAGGCGAUGCUGACUUAUUAGAGUAGCAUACGUUAAUGCAUAAAUUGGGCACCCUCACUUCCCUUCUUGAUAUCACAUCCCGUCCAGACUUAGUGGAGGCGAUGCUGAAUUAUCGGGAUCCAAAAAAUUUGACUUU